rnacentral:ncRNA from 1 species
UGAUAGCGAUGAAACGUGAGGUUGCUGCAUGAAAUUGCAGGUUUUCCGCGGAGCGAAUGUCAAGUUAGGAAACUGACGACAA